ensembl:ncRNA K11C4.12 ncRNA
CAAUGUGAUAUUAUCACAUUGAUAUGCAAAUUGAUAAAUUAUAAAUGGACCAGGUACGGUAGAGACCAACUACGUCGCCGAACAAUCAAACGACUGAGAUUCGUCACGAAGUUAAAGGAGACCAGAAUAGGCCCCAGAUGCCGUAAAUAA